rnacentral:rRNA from 1 species
CUUAUCUGGCCUCGACAUCCAGAGAACUUUCCAGAGAUGGAUUGGUGCCUUCGGGAGCUCUGAGACAGGUGCUGCAUGGCUGUCGUCAGCUCGUGUCGUAGAUGUUGGGUUAAGUCCCGCAACGAGCGCAACCCUUGUCAUUAGUUGCUACGCAAGAGCACUCUAAUGAGACCGCCGGUGACAAACCGGAGGAAGGUGGGGAUGACGUCAAGUCCUCAUGGCCCUUAUGGGUAGGGCUACACACGUCAUACAAUGGGCGGUACAGAGGGUUGCCAACCCGCGAGGGGGAGCCAAUCCCUUAAAACCGCUCGUAGUCCGGAUUGUAGUCUGCAACUCGACUGCAUGAAGUCGGAAUCGCUAGUAAUCGCGGAUCAGCUUGCCGCGGUGAAUACGUUCCCGGGUCUUGUACACACCGCCCGUCACACCAUGGAAGUGGGGUUUACCAGAAGUAGUUAGCUUAACCGCAAGGAGGGCGAUUACCACGGUAGGCUUCAUGACUGGGGUGAAGUCGUAACAAGGUAGCCGUAUCGGAAGGUGC